GUCUUGGGCCAGAACGACACGGGCUUCAGCUGCGACGGCUCAGCCAGCACCUUCCGCGUCAUGUUCAAGGAGCCGGUGGAGGUGCUGCCCAACGUCAACUACACGGCCUGUGCCACGCUCAAGGGCCCAGACUCCCACUACGGCACCAAAGGCCUGCGCAAGGUGACACACGAGUCGCCCACCACGGGCGCCAAGACCUGCUUCACCUUUUGCUACGCGGCCGGGAACAACAAUGGCACAUCCGUGGAGGACGGCCAGAUCCCCGAGGUCAUCUUCUACACCUAGGCUGCCCGACACCGACACCGCCCUCCCUCCGUGGGGAUAGCCGCAGCCCCAGGCCAUCAUCUGCUGCUGGGGCCCCCCCACCACGCGGUGCCAGGCCCAGUGUCCCCCAGGCCGUCUGUCCACUCCAUGCCACCUUUCUCAGCAUCAGGACGGGGUUGCCCUGUGUUCACCACGAGUGUGGCUGCUGGAUCAGGGCAGCCGGGGAGGUGGCCAGGCCAGUGGCCAGGCCCUGUGGAGACAAUCCCUCAGGACUAGGGACAGGGCUGUGCCGGCCUGGGCCAGGGCCCACGGACCCGCAGCUCAGGGCGCCUGCCCACGUCGUCUGCCGGCGGUGCGCCGCGGGCGUCCCUCGCGUCUCUUCACUGCACAUUGCAAUGCAUUUGCGAUUCCCAUUUCUCUGCUAGGAGCCAGCCUGGGUGGCGCUGCUCCCAGAGCCGUGGGUCCCAGACCUUGCGUUCCUUUUGUUCCUGUCCGUUUAUCAGGACACGGGCCCCACCUGUCACGUGCCCGAGGCCACCCAAGCCCAGCCUGCGGGGCGUUCCCACUGCCUGGAUGCCGGCUUGAGUUCUGCGCACGCAGGAUUCAGUGUGGGGACGGCCCCUGCCGGAUAGGCCUAGCCCUGGCCCAGGUGGUGAGCGGUUUGCAGUGUCCGUUCUCAUCCACCUGAUGGGCCCAGAUAAAGGCCCCCGCUGUCCAGCCUCCCUGGACGGCCCUCGCGGUCCCUGCAGCCCAAGAUGGGACUCAGACCCUGUGCCCCAGAGCUCCCCUGCCGCAGAAUGGGGCCCCAGCCGGCCCCGACCGGGUCCAGGAGCACUGCUCGCCUGUACAUACUGUUGCCCUAGCCCACCUGGUGCCGUGGGAGCCACCCCCAGGUGCUGGGGGCACAGCCCCUCCCCACUCCGGCCACGCCCCCACCCACCCCGCGUGUUUCUGCCCUGUGACUCCUGGAACCUGCGUCCUCCCCAAAGCCAUGGGAGGGGUGUCCUCCUCAGACCAUGCCCCCAGAUGAUUUUUUUAAAUAAAGAAACAAAUGCAC
rnacentral:lncRNA from 1 species